AUUGAACGCUGGCGGGAGGCCUAACACAUGCAAGUCGAACGAGUGGCGGACGUGUGAGUCAUGUCUGGGAAACUGCCUGAUGGAGGGGGAUAACUACUGGAAACGGUAGCUAAUACCGCAUCCCCUCAGAUGAGCCCAGAUGGGAGUAGCUUGUUGGUGUGGUAACGGCACACCAAGGCGACGCUCCCUAGCUGGUCUGAGGGGAUGACCAGCCACACUGGGACUGGUACACGGUCCAGACUACUACGGGAGGCAGCAGUGGGGAAUAUUACAGAAUGGGCGCAAGCCUGAUGCAGCCAUGCCGCGUAUAUGAAGAAGGCCUUCAGGUUGUAGAGUACUUUCGGCGGGGAGGCGUUACCCGAAGAAGAAGCACCGGCUAACUCCGUGCCAGCAGCCGCGGUAAUUC
rnacentral:rRNA from 1 species